rnacentral:rRNA from 1 species
GACGCACGCUGGCGGCGUGCCUAAUACAUGCAAGUCGAACGGAGCGGCGGACGGGUGAGUAAUGCCUAGGAAUCUGCCUGGUAGUGGGGGAUAACGUCCGGAAACGGGCGCUAAUACCGCAUACUAUCAGAUGAGCCUAGGUCGGAUUAGCUAGUUGGUGGGGUAAAGGCCUACCAAGGCGACGAUCCGUAACUGGUCUGAGAGGAUGAUCAGUCACACUGGAACUGAGACACGGUCCAGACUCCUACGGGAGCAGUCAGUGGGGACUAUUGGACAAUGGGCGAAAGCCGGAUCCAGCCAUGCCGCGUGGGUGAAGAAGGUCUUCGGAUUGUAAAGCACUUUAAGUUGGGAGGCGUUACCAACAGAAUAAGCACCGGCUAACUUCGUGCCAGCAGCCGCGGUAAUAC